rnacentral:hammerhead_ribozyme from 1 species
GUCCAGCUGACGAGUCCAAAACAGGACGAAACGCUCGUCCUGGAU